AAGUCGUAACAAGGUUUCCGUAGGUGAACCUGCGGAAGGAUCAUUACAUUUAGUAGCCUAGCUGCUAUCAGUGGGGUUCGUUAGCCUGCAUAGCUUAAUCGCUGAUGAGCAGCAGACCCCCUGUUUGUACCCUUGUUUUUUGCGUCAACAAAUCGUUUCCGUCGGGCUGGGCUUGCCGUGCGCCAGGAUGGACAAAUAACCUUUAAUAACCUUUUUUAAUAUUCAAUCAGCGUCUGAAAAAACUUGAAUAAUUACAA
rnacentral:misc_RNA from 1 species